UGUUGCCCGUGGUAUCUAAUGUCCUGAAUCAUAUUCUGUUGUUGGAUGUUUCAUUUUGAGGGCAGAAAUAAAGUAAAGAACAGGUCUUGCGACACGGAUUGUUUUAAUUUUAAAAGCUUUCUGUUACUUUAACCCUGCUCAUAUUU
rnacentral:snoRNA from 1 species